GGGAAUAUGCACCAAAGUGAUACGGAAUAGCCUCUGGAAACGGAUAGUAAUACCGUAUGUGCCCUUCGGGGGAUGAUUUAUCGUCUUUGGAUGAGCCCGCGAUAGAUUAGGUAGUUGACGGGGAAAUGGCCUACCAAGCCUACGAUCUAUAGGUGGUUUUAGAGGAUGAUCGGCAACACUGGGACUGAGACUCGGACCAGACUCCUACGGGAGGCAGCUGAGGGGAAUCUUGGACAAUGGGGGCAACCCUGAUCCAGGCAUGCCGNGUGAGUGAUGAAGGCCUUAGGGUCGUAAAGCUCUUUCGCCUGUGAAGAUAUUGACGGUAGCAGGGCUGAAACCCCGGAUAACUCUNGCCAGCAGCCGCGGCUUACGGANGGGGUUAACGUUGUUCGGAAUUACUGGGCGUAAAGCGCACGUAGGCGGAUCGGAAAGUUGGNGGUGAAAUCCCGGGGCUCAACCCCGGAACUGCCUCCAAAACUAUCGGNCUAGAGUUCAAAAGAGGUGAGUGAAAUUCCGAGCGGAGAGUGGUAAUUCGUAGAUAUUCGGAGGAACACCAGGGCGGAAGGCGGGUCACUGNNUCGAUACUGACGCUGAGGCGCGAAAGNNNNGNAGAGCAAACAGGAUUANAUACCCUGAUANUNCACACCGUANACGAUGAAUGGCAGUCGUCGGGUAGCAUGCUAUUCGGNGACACACCUAACGGAUUAAGGAUUCCGNCUGGNGAGUACGG
rnacentral:rRNA from 2 species